rnacentral:rRNA from 1 species
UACAGAGGUCUCAAGCGUUGUUCGGAUUCAUUGGGCGUAAAGGGUGCGUAGGUGGCGCUGUAAGUCUGGUGUGAAAUUUCGGAGCUUAACUCCGAAACUGCAUUCGAUACUGCGGUGCUUGAGGACUGGAGAGGAGACUGGAAUUUAUGGUGUAGCAGUGAAAUGCGUAGAGAUCAUAAGGAAGACCAGUGGCGAAGGCGGGUCUCUGGACAGUUCCUGACACUGAGGCACGAAGGCCAGGGGAGCAAACGGG